rnacentral:rRNA from 1 species
GAUCCUGGCUCAGGAUGAACGCUGGCGGCGUGCUUAACACAUGCAAGUCGAACGAAGCACUUUAACCUGAUUCUUCGGAUGAAGGUUUUUGUGACUGAGUGGCGGACGGGUGAGUAACGCGUGGGUAACCUGCCUCAUACAGGGGGGAUAACAGUUAGAAAUGACUGCUAAUACCGCAUAAGACCACGGAGCCGCAUGGCUCAGUGGGAAAAACUACCGGUGGUAUGAGAUGGACCCGCCGU